CAGGGGCUCAGGUGAGCACUGCAGGCCGGAGAGCAGGCCCAGGCACCCGGUGCAGACAGAUGGUCUCAGGGAGAAUGUGCUCAGCGCUCAGCAUGUUCCCUCGCUCCUCAGCUCCUUGCAGAGACAGGCCAAGCCAUAGGCUUCCCUCUCCAAGGCGCCUACAGGAAGCCUCUCAUUCAGCUCCUCCCGACGCCCCCUGGAGCCCCCAUUUUCCAGGACACCCUGGCAGGAUCCAGGGCACUUGUCCUCCCAGGCUGCCAGUUACAGGUUCCGAGUACAGAGCCAAGCCGGGGAGGUGCUCAGGCCGUCCUGCCACAAAGCCCGGCAGCAGUGACACAAACAGGGGGCCUGGCACUGCCCCUCACACCUGGACUGCAGCGGCCCAGGAGGACCUUGGUGACAGAGGAAGUUGCAGCGCCCUGGUCUACAGUGCCUGUGACACGUCAAGGUGUGUAUGCAGUUCCCUCAGAAGAUUCAAUAGAAAAAACCUCCCAGCGUCCAGGUAGACCAUCUGCCCUCCUCCCGGAAGGAAAGGCUCAGACACAAACUCUAACACAAUGUUACUCCUCAUAUCUUAACACUAAGACACUCAUCGGCCCAGCAGACACGGCUCGGCUUGCAGCAGCGACAGUCUCUGUGCUCAUCACCACAGGCCGCCUGCCCCCUGCCAGGUCCAUGUCAUUGUCCGGACGGUGGACAGAGGUGGGCGAGGAGCCAGCACCACACUGCAACAUGCACAACUCCGUAGGGCACAGGGGGUCGUGGGCGGGGCAGGGCCUUGGAGCGGGAUCUCCUGUGGAUUUGGGAAGACGAGAGGCACCCUCAUGAGUUGCCGUAUCCAUACCUGCAUCACUCAGUGGCUGGUUUGAAUACGUGAAUAACAGGAUGUAUUCGAAGGAUUCAGUGACAAGCCACACUUGAAUGCUUUUCAUGCUUUCCCUUCAUUGCUGACUACUAACCUUUACAAAGUACUGGUAACUGCUCAUCAGGGGACCAAGGCCCCAAGGGGCGUGGCCUGAGCCAACGGGCUCAGUUGCCCCGGAAGCUUGUGGCUCUGUGUUUAUUGAGAAACUACUGUGUGUAUGAGCCAGGAAAGCUGCUCACAUGCCUCACCGUCUAGCAGGAGGCAAACUUGUAACAACGAAAUCCUGUGGUCCUGCCUCAGGAAAGGCAAGGAGGGAGAUUGGAUGUGGGAGGUUUCCAGGCAACUGGGGUCCACCUGCUGGCGGGCUCUGUAGGGGGCCUUGGCUGCACCCCAUGCAGUGAUGAGAAGCAUGGGGGGUGACGAGAAGCAAGAAAUUGCACAGAGCAGCAUGCGUGGAUCAUGAACACGGUGCUCAGGCAAAACAAUUGGAAAGAUAAACAUUUACAUGUGUGCAUGCAAACACAUACAUGGAAUGUAUAUUUGCACAAAUGUGUAUACAAAGCACAUCUCUGCAUUUAUACACAAACUCGGACCUUUCGCCAAAAAAUUGCAUGCAGAAUUCAUGUUUUGCAGAGAUUCAGACAAGCAAAGC